rnacentral:misc_RNA from 1 species
UUCCGUAGGUGAACCUGCGGAAGGAUCAUUAAAAAUAUCGCUCGAUUGAGAGUGAUUUAAUAAUCAUCCUACCUUUGUGAAUUUGUUGUUUGAAUAAUUUUUUUGAUUUUAAAAAAAAAUUAUUUAUGGUUUUGUCUAUCCCUAAAUUGGUUUGUUGUGUAAAUGAAUCAAUUUAGGGAAUAGGCUUUCAUAAAUAAGUUUUUUUAAAGUCUUAAAGACCUUUUUUUAAAAUUAAACUUUGUAUUCAUUUGUCUAAAUUUUUUUUAAAUAAUUUAAAAACAACUUUGACAAUGGAUCUCUUGGUUCUCGCAACGAUGAAGAACGCAGCAAAAUGCGAUAAGUAAUGUGAAUUGCAGAAUACGUGAAUCAUCAAAUCUUCGAACGCAUAUUGCACUUUUUAGUUUACUAAAAAAGUAUGUCUGUUGAGUAUCAGUAAAAUAUUCUCAUAAAACAUUUUUGUUUUAUGGUUAUGAGUGUUUUACAACGAUAAACAAGUUGUUUCACUUUAAAUUCAUUUUAAUUUAAGACCAUUUAUGGUUUUAAUAAAAAUUGGAUAAAAUUUUCCCGUAAAAAGGAAUAAACUUUCAGUUUUUAAUUAUUACCAACAAACGGUCGAUUUAAAAGGAAAUUUAUUUAAAUAACUUGAUCUCAAAUCAGAUAAGAGUACCGCUGAACUUAAGCAUAUCAAUAAGCGGAGGAAAAGAAACUAACAAGGAUUCCUUAGUAACGGCGAGUGAAGCGGGAAGAGCUCAAAUUGAAAUCUUCAAGGUUCUACCUUGACGAAUUGUAGUUUAAAGAAGUGUUUUCUGUUAGAUGAGUAGCAAAAGUUCCUUGGAAUGGACAUCAUAGAGGUGGGAAUCCGUAUUUGGUUAUUCAUUCUAGCUUUGUGAUACACUUUCAAAGAGUCGGAUUGUUUGGAAUGCAGUCCAAAAUGGUGGUAAAUUUCAUCUAAAGCUAAAUAUUGGCGAGAGACCGAUAGCGAACAAGUACCGAGAGGGAAAGAUGAAAAGAACUUUGAAAAGAGAGUUAAACAGUACGUGAAAUUGUCAAAAGGGAGCGUUUGACACCAGUGUUGUUUUUCCAAAAUCAAUUACGAAUGGCUUGAUUUGUGUUGUAUUGACCUUAUCAGCUUUCUUCACUUUUUUCGAGUCUUUCUUAAUGCACUUUUGGUUAACAAGUCAACAUCAAUUUCUUUUGUUGUAAAGAGUAUUCGGAAGGUGGCUUUCUUUUCGGAGAAAGUGUUUAUAGCCCUAUACUUCUACAAUCGGAGAGAUUGAGGUCUGCAGCGUAGAUCCUUCGGGUUAGAUACACUUGUGCUAAGUUGUAGCUUUUCAUAGACAACUUGUUGACUAUGUUUAGUCAUGCGGCUUACUCGCUUAUGCUAUUU